rnacentral:rRNA from 1 species
UUCGCCGCCGGUGACGUUGUGAGAAGUUUAUCGAACCUUAUCAUUUAGAGGAAGGAGAAGUCGUAACAAGGUUUCCGUAGGUGAACCUGCGGAAGGAUCAUUG